UACGUAGGGUGCGAGCGUUGUCCGGAAUUAUUGGGCGUAAAGGGCUCGUAGGCGGUUUGUCGCGUCGGGAGUGAAAACCCAGGGCUUAACCCUGGGCUGGCUUCCGAUACGGGCAGACUAGAGGUAUGCAGGGGAGAACGGAAUUCCUGGUGUAGCGGUGAAAUGCGCAGAUAUCAGGAGGAACACCGGUGGCGAAGGCGGGUCUCUGGGCCGAAACUGACGCUGAGGAGCGAAAGCGUGGGGAGCGAACAGG
rnacentral:rRNA from 1 species